rnacentral:rRNA from 1 species
GAUGAACGCUGGCGGCGUGCCUAAUACAUGCAAGUCGAGCGAACAGAUGAGGAGCUUGCUCCUCUGACGUUAGCGGCGGACGGGUGAGUAACACGUGGAUAACCUACCUAUAAGACUGGGAUAACUUCGGGAAACCGGAGCUAAUACCGGAUAAUAUAUUGAACCGCAUGGUUCAAUAGUGAAAGACGGUUUUGCUGUCACUUAUAGAUGGAUCCGCGCCGCAUUAGCUAGUUGGUAAGGUAACGGCUUACCAAGGCAACGAUGCGUAGCCGACCUGAGAGGGUGACCGGCAACACUGGACCUGAGACACGGUCCAGACUCCUACGGGAGGCAGCAGUAGGGAAUCUUGCGCAAUGGGCGAAAGCCUGACGGAGCAACGCGGCGUGAGUGAUGAAGGUCUUCGGAUCGUAAAACUCUGUUAUUAGGGAAGAACAAAUGUGUAAGUAACUAUGCACGUCUGGACGGUACCUAAUCAGAAAGCCACGGCUAACUACGU